AAGAGAGUUUGAAACAAGUCCAAAGAAGAGCAAUGAAAAUAAUUAAAUGGUUGGAAAAUUGUCUGUCUAAAUAAAGGUCACAGACACUGGGCCUAUUUAAUGCAGAAAUAUGAAGGGGCAAACCUAUCCACAUUCCUCAAGGAUGUGAAAAGAAAUAGGCAGAGAGAUCAUUUUCUUCAGUUUUUCAAUGGAAAAAAAAUACAUUCAAAAGACGUCUUCACCAUACAAGGAAUUCUUUGUUCAGACUGGCUACUGACAUUCCAAACAAACCUACACUCAAGAUAAAGUUAUCCUCUCGGAACACUCAGACAUUUUUUUUUUUCUUCCCUAUCAUCAACUUGCCAACAUUAAAGGCAGUUCUCACUUUUAGACACAACGUGUUUGAUGCAAAUGCAACUUAAAGAAGAUUACUGUAAGGUCUCGCCUGGCUGGUCUUGUAUUACAUCCUGAUUAUGCAUGUGCUGUCACAUGAGAGUGGAAGCCACCAAAUAAGUAGCUAUGGUCGGUGAAAAGUGAAAUACGAGUCUUUAUUAUUAAGUGUCCAGUAAGAGGUGUGGUGAAAAGCAGGACUCCCAAAUUGAACUGGUGAAAAAUAUGAACUAUCUGCACCUUACAAGAAAAUAAGCAAAAACCUUUCUUCUGGACAUCUUAAGUAGUCUUUUUUUUUUUUUUUUUUUUUUUUAGAGUUGAUAAUUAAACUGUGAAAGAGAGAGCAUCGAUACACUGUCUUCAAUUCUUAAGCAGGCCCACUUCUCCACUUUCUAAGUUUCUCACUCUCAUUAGCAAUAUAUAUUGCAUUUAGCUUCAUUCCUAGAUGGACCAUUUGUGAAGCUAUUGAAUUAUUAAAAGCAGGUACCUUUUCAUUGAGCCUCAAUUUAAGGCUUGAACUUAGAGCUGUUUUGCUGAAUUGGCAAGAGGGGAGAAAAGGAAAGUAACAAGACUUUCAAGUAAAUUACUACCUAGAACAUUUUUUAAAGUAUUUUUGGUCAAAUCAAAUAUAGGGAGCACCAAAUUCCCAGAAAGAAAGAUUCCCUUGAAUGUAUAUUUUUCACAAAUUUUGUGGGUCAGCUGUCUAUAUUUUUCAUGAAAGCCUAAAAUACUUCAAAAUGCUUUCUGCAUAUUUAUAUCACUUGUGUAGGCAAGAAGAUGAAUAUAGGUGGCAUGAAGAUUUUUAGGUGAACAUUUUGCUAUGUUCCUUCAUUUUAUAGUAAAUUCCCCACAGUUCUUGGCUAGAAGAAAAAAGAUAUUUAUCUUUAUGUUAUACUGGUCCCUCCUGCUACCAAAAAACUGGAAAAUAAAUGUCACCCUGGAUCCAUGAACACUGGUUGAGUGGUUCUGUUCUAUCUAUCUAUCUAUCUACCUAUCUAUCUAUCAUCUAUCUAUCAUCUAUCUAUCAUCUCUCUGCCUAUA
rnacentral:lncRNA from 10 species